CUUUUAUAUCAUCUGACAGCCUGCAAGUCAGCUGCUUUCUAGAAUCAGAAUUUUUUACUGAAACAAUCUACCUUUUGGUAAUCCAUAAAGUACAAAGUAGUGGAGGAGAUUAAAAUGAGAAUGUCUGCGAGAUUCUUCCUACUUUUUCUGCUUGUUUCUCUAGGAUCCCCUGGACAUAUUAGAAUGGCUAAGACUCCAAAUGUCAUCUCUACAUCACCAAAAGAGACAAUCUCCCUCUCCUGUAAAGCUGUAAAUGAUGCAAAUCUGAAGUCCCAUGCCGUAGCCUGGAACCAUCAGAAACCGGAACAAUCUCCAUCUCCAAUUAUAUAUCAUGCCUAUCGCCAAAAUACCGGGGUUCCAGACCGAUUCAGUAGGACUGUAUCUAUACCUGAUGUCGUUCUUAAAAUGUUCAACUCUGAAAUGCUGGAUGACGGUGACUAUUACUGCCACCAGCCCAUAGAACAUCCGAGCACACAGUGAUACGGAGCAGUACAAAAACCUUCUGCAUGUGUGUAUUAGUAUGCAUGAAAUCUGUAUAUACUUCCUAAAUCUAAGGCCGCGUACACACAAUCGGUUAAACCGAUGAGAGCGGUCUGAUGGACCGUUUUCAUCGGUCCAAACC